rnacentral:rRNA from 1 species
GACGAACGCUGGCGGCGUGCCUACACAUGCAAGUCGAGCGGUUCAAGCAGCAAUGUUUGGAUAGCGGCGGACGGGUGAGUAACGCGUGGGCAACCUGCCUUUCACAGGGGGAUAACACAGGGAAACUUGUGCUAAUACCGCAUAACGUAAUUUUAUGGCAUCAUGAGAUUACCAAAGGAGAAAUCCGGUGAAAGAUGGGCCCGCGUCCGAUUAGCUAGUUGGUGGGGUAGAGGCCCACCAAGGCGACGAUCGGUAGCCGAACGGAGAGGUUGAUCGGCAACAUUGGGACUGAGACACGGCCCGGACUCCGACGGGAGGCAGCAGUGGGGAAUAUUGCGCAAUGGGGCAAACCCUGACGCAGCAACGCCGCGGGAAGGAUGAAGGUUUUCGGAUUGUAAACUUCUUUGAUGAGGGACGAAAAAAAUGACGGUACCUCAAGAACAAGCCACGGCUAACUACGUGCCAGCCGCCGCAGUAA